GGUAGUGUGGCCGAGCGGUCUAGGGCGCUGGUUUAAGGCACCAGUCUCUUCGGAGGCGUGGGUUCGAACCCCACCGCUGCCA